rnacentral:rRNA from 1 species
UCCCGAGUAAAGUGGCGCACGGGUGAGUAACACGUGGAUAAUCUGCCUCUAUGAUGGGGAUAACAGUUGGAAACGACUGCUAAUACCGAAUACGCUCAUAAUGAACUUUAUGAGGAAAGGUGGCCUCUGCUUGCAAGCUAUCGCAUAGAGAUGAGUCCGCGUCCCAUUAGCUAGUUGGUGGGGUAACGGCCUACCAAGGCAACGAUGGGUAGCCGAUCU